AGUGGACGCUGGCGGUAGGCCUAACACAUGCAAGUCGAACGGCAGCACAGUAAGAGCUUGCUCUUACGGGUGGCGAGUGGCGGACGGGUGAGGAAUACAUCGGAAUCUACUUUUUCGUGGGGGAUAACGUAGGGAAACCUACGCUAAUACCGCAUACGACCUACGGGUGAAAGCAGGGGAUCUUCGGACCUUGCGCGAUUGAAUGAGCCGAUGUCGGAUUAGCUAGUUGGCGGGGUAAAGGCCCACCAAGGCGACGAUCCGUAGCUGGUCUGAGAGGAUGAUCAGCCACACUGGAACUGAGACACGGUCCAGACUCCUACGGGAGGCAGCAGUGGGGAAUAUUGGACAAUGGGCGCAAGCCUGAUCCAGCCAUACCGCGUGGGUGAAGAAGGCCUUCGGGUUGUAAAGCCCUUUUGUUGGGAAAGAAAAGCAGCAGGUUAAUACCCCGCUGUUCUGACGGUACCCAAAGAAUAAGCACCGGCUAACUUCGUG
rnacentral:rRNA from 1 species